AUUGAACGCUGGCGGCAGGCCUAACACAUGCAAGUCGAGCGAGAGUCGGACGGGUGAGUAAUGUCUGGGAAACUGCCUGAUGGAGGGGGCUAACUCCUGGAAACGGUAGCUAAUAACGCAUACCCUCCCCUGUGCUCAGAUGGGAUUAGCGAGUAGGUGGGGUAACGGCUCACCUAGGCGCCGAUCCCUAGCUGGUCUGAGAGGAGGACCAGCCACACUGGAACGGAGACACGGUCCAGACUCCUACGGGAGGCAGCAGGGGGGAAUAUUGCACAAUGGGUGCAAGCCUGAUAAACACAUGCCGCGUGUGUGAAGAAGGCCCUCGGGUUGUAAAGCACUUUCAGCGGGGAGGCGUUACCCGCAGAAGAAGCACCGGCUAACUCCGUGCCAGCAGCCGCGGUAAUAC
rnacentral:rRNA from 1 species